rnacentral:rRNA from 1 species
AUUGAACGCUGGCGGCAGGCCUAACACAUGCAAGUCGAGCGGAGCGGCGGACGGGUGAGUAAUGCCUAGGUAUCUGUCUGGUCGUGGGGGGUAACGACCGGAAACGGGCGCUAAUACCGCAUACUAUCAGAUGAGUAUAGGUCGGAUUAGCUAGUUGGUGGGGUAAAGGCCUACUAAGGCGACGAUCCGUAGCUGGUCUGAGAGGAUGAUCAGUCACACUGGAACUGAGACACGGUCCAGACUCCUACGGGAGGCAGCAGUGGGGAAUAUUGGACAAUGGGCGAAAGCCUGAUGCAGCCAUGCCGCGUGUGUGAGGAAGGUCUUCGGAUUGUAAAGCACUUUAAGUUGGGAGGCGUUACCAACAGAAUAAGCACCGGCUAACUUCGUGCCAGCAGCCGCGGUAAUUC